AGUGAACGCUGGCGGUAGGCCUAACACAUGCAAGUCGAACGGCAGCACAGUAAGAGCUUGCUCUUACGGGUGGCGAGUGGCGGACGGGUGAGGAAUACAUCGGAAUCUACUUUUUCGUGGGGGAUAACGUAGGGAAACUUACGCUAAUACCGCAUACGACCUACGGGUGAAAGCAGGGGAUCUUCGGACCUUGGGCGAUUGAAUGAGCCGAUGUCGGAUUAGCUAGUUGGCGGGGUAAAGGCCCACCAAGGCGACGAUCCGUAGCUGGUCUGAGAGGAUGGUCAGCCACCCUGGAACGGAGACACGGUCCAGACUACUACGGGAGGCAGCAGUGGGGAAUAGUGGACAAUGGGCGCAAGCCUGGUCCAGCCAUACCGCGUGGGUGAAGAAGGCCUUCGGGUUGUAAAGCCCUUUUGUGGGGAAAGAAAAGCAGCAGGUUAAUACCCAGCUGUUCUGACGGUACCCAAAGAAUAAGCACCGGCUAACUUCGUG
rnacentral:rRNA from 1 species